UUCACACUAAAUCACGCAUACCUCACCAUUAGAAUGGACAUAGACACCAAUACUGCAAAAAGGGAUGGAGGCCCCACUUGAUUGGGGGGACUGAUUUCUCUUCACUCACACACCUCACUUUUUAUUGAUAUAUACAUACACUCACUGGUAGAGAAGGGGGGAGGAUAUACACAUAUCAUCAUCUUUCCAUGGAUUAGAAAUCAUAGGGAGCAAACACAGGGAACUCACGAUCACACGGGGAGGAUACGGAUUGACACCAUUUUUGGGGGAUUUCUUCUUCUUGGAGCAUAAUUCACACACUCAUACACACACAGUGAGGGGCGAGUGAUGGAGACACAGUGAGUGGGAAAGGGUUUUUGAACGCAUACAGAACAGAGAGAUCGAGAGAGUGAGACGAAGAUCGCUGGACUACUUUUUCGGUGAAGCUCUCACCAGUGACACUAGAAUCGUCAUCGAAGAAGCUCUAAUGAUCUCGUUCCCUCCGUACUUGCAUCCAAAAGUCAUUCAGGAUCCCAUUUUCCAUCCAAAUCCAGUCGAAAGAAUUCGUUAUGCCCCGAUCAAUUAAUCGUAAUUAAUUUCGGGCCUCACUUUCUUGAUACCGAGUUGGAUUUUGAUCGUGAUUGGGGUUUUCUUGUUCGAGGAUUUCGAUCUUCGGACUUCUUUAUUAUCAACGGAAUCGAUCUAUUGAGGGAAUACCCCACGAAAUUGUGUAUUCAGAAGGAGGUUCGUGAUCAAGGCCCGAGGCAUCGGUUAAAGCAUUGGAGAGUAGUUUAGGACUAGUGUAGGUUAGUGUAGGUUUAUAUUUCCUCAUUUCUUCUAUUCCGGGUUGUAAUAAUUGGACCGAACACUAUAUCUUUGGACUUGUUUUGUCUUGUUUGUUUGAUUGAUUGUUUGGUAUUUUUAUGUGGUUUAUACA